rnacentral:rRNA from 1 species
UACGAAGGGGGCUAGCGUUGUUCGGAAUUACUGGGCGUAAAGCGUGCGCAGGUGGUCUUUCAAGUCAGUGGUGAAAGCCCGGAGCUCAACUCCGGAAAUGCCAUUGAAACUGUAAGACUUGAGGAUGAGAGAGGUGAGUGGAAUUCCCAGUGUAGAGGUGAAAUUCGUAGAUAUUGGGAAGAACACCGGUGGCGAAGGCGGCUCACUGGCUCAUAUCUGACGCUCAGGCGCGACAGCGUGGGGAUCAAACAGG